AACGAACGCUGGCGGCCUGCCUAACAAAUGCAAGUUGAACGCGACCUUCAGGUGCCGUGGCGUACGGGUGCGUAAACCGUGGUGUCCUGCCCUUUGGCUCCGAAUAACUCCCCGCCAGGGGUGCUAAUCCCGGCUAAUGUCCUCGGACCAAAGAUUUAUCGCCUUUGGAUGGGCCCGCGUUGGAUUAGCUAGUUGCUAGGGUAAAAGCCUACCAAGGCGACGAUCCAUAGCUGGUCUGAGAGGAUGAUCAGCCACACUGGGACUGAGACACGGCCCAAACUCCGACGGGAGGCAGCAGUUGGGAAUAUUGGACAAUAGGCGAUAGCCUUGUCCAGCAAGGCCGCGUGAGUGAUGAAGGCCUUAGAGUUGUAAAGCUCGUUUACCCGUGAUGAUUAGGACAGUACCGAGUGAAUAAGCCCGCGCUAACUCCGUG
rnacentral:rRNA from 1 species